UACAGAGGGGGCUAGCGUUAUUCGGAAUUAUUGGGCGUAAAGGGCGCGUAGGCGGCCCUGCGUGUCUUCCGUGAAAUCCCUCGGCUCAACUGAGGACGUGCGGAAGAAACUGCAGGGCUCGAGUCCGGGAGAGGGGGGUGGAAUUCCCAGUGUAGCGGUGAAAUGCGUAGAUAUUGGGAGGAACACCGGUGGCGAAGGCGGCCCCCUGGACCGGUACUGACGCUGAGGCGCGAAAGCGUGGGGAGCAAACGGG
rnacentral:rRNA from 1 species